UACGUAGGGUGCGAGCGUUGUCCGGAUUUAUUGGCGUAAAGAGCUCGUAGGCGGUUGUCGCGUCGGCCGUGAAAUCUCCACGCUUAACGUGGAGCGUGCGUCGAUACGGGCAGACUUGAGUUCGGUAGGGGAGACUGGAAUUCCUGGUGUAGCGGUGAAAUGCGCAGAUAUCAGGAGGAACACCGGUGCGAAGGCGGGUCUCUGGGCAACAACUGACGCUGAGGAGCGAAGCGUGGGGAGCGAACGG
rnacentral:rRNA from 1 species